rnacentral:ncRNA from 1 species
UAACGAAAAGGGCAAAUCCUGAGUGAUCAGGGGACGCAAAGUAACAGGGUCUUCAACAAAGUUGAGAGUAGAGAGUUAAGGGUUUAGUGUUAUAUUUUGGAAGACAGCCUUACUGCCGAA